GGGCUUGACAUCCCACGAACCUGCUGAAUGGCAGGAGUGCCCGCAAGGGAGCGCGGAGACAGGUGGUGCAUGGCUGUCGUCAGCUCGUGUCGUGAGAUGUUGGGUUAAGUCCCGCAACGAGCGCAACCCUCACCCCUUGUUGCUACCAGGUAAAGCUGGGCACUCUAGGGGAACUGCCCCGGUCAACGGGGAGGAAGGCGGGGAUGACGUCAAGUCAUCAUGCCCCUUACGUCCUGGGCUACACACGUGCUACAAUGGCCGGUACAAAGGGAUGCCACACUGCGAGGUAGAGCUAAACCCAAAAAGCCGGUCUAAGUUCAGAUUGGAGUCUGCAACUCGACUCCAUGAAGGAGGAAUCGCUAGUAACCGCGUAUCAGCACGACGCGGUGAAUACGUUCCCGGGCCUUGUACACACCGCCCGUCACACCACGAAAGCCAGCUGUACUCGAAGUCGCUGAGA
rnacentral:rRNA from 1 species